GGCGGCGUGGCAUAGUGCUUGAGCGUUGGACCAUGAUUCUGGAGGCCAGGGUUCAAAUCCAUGCUCAGCCA